rnacentral:rRNA from 1 species
ACGUAGGGUGCGAGCGUUGUCCGGAAUUAUUGGGCGUAAAGAGCUCGUAGGCGGUGUGUCACGUCGGCCGUGAAAACCUGCAGCUUAACUGCGGGCCUGCAGUCGAUACGGGCAAACUGGAGUGUUGCAGGGGAGACUGGAAUUCCUGGUGUAGCGGUGAAAUGCGUAGAUAUCAGGAGGAAUACCGAUGGCGAAGGCAGGUCUCUGGGCUGACACUGACGCUCAUGCACGAAAGCGUGGGGAGCAAACAGGA